rnacentral:rRNA from 1 species
CAGCCGCCGCGGGAACACGUAGGGUGCAAGCGUUAAUCGGAAUUACUGGGCGUAAAGCGUGCGCUGGCGGUCCGUUAAGACAGAUGUGAAAUCCCCGGGCUUAACCUGGGAACUGCAUUUGUGACUGGCGGGCUAGAGUAUGGCAGAGGGGGGUAGAAUUCCACGUGUAGCAGUGAAAUGCGUAGAGAUGUGGAGGAAUACCGAUGGCGAAGGCAGCCCCCUGGGCCAAUACUGACGCUCACGCACGAAAGCGUGGGGAGCAAACGGGAUUAGAUACCCGAGUAGUCCCUGUCUCUUAUAC